rnacentral:rRNA from 1 species
AAUGGGCGCAAGCCUGAUGUAGCAACGCCGCGUGCGGGAUGACGGCCUUCGGGUUGUAAACCGCUUUCAGUUCCGACGAAGCGCAAGUGACGGUAGGAACAGAAGAAGGACCGGCCAACUACGUGCCAGCAGCCGCGGUGAUACGUAGGGUCCGAGCGUUGUACCGGAAUUAUUGGGCGUAAAGGGCUUGUAGGCGGUUUGUUGCGUCGGAAGUGAAAACUCAGGGCUUAACCCUGAGCCUGCUUCCGAUACGGGCAAACUAGAGGAAUGCAGGGGAGAAUGGAAAUUCCUGGUGGAGCGGUGGAAUGCGCAGAUAUCAGGAGGAACACCGGUGGCGAAGGCGGUUCUCUGGGCAUUUCCUGGACGCUGAGAAGCGAAAGCGUGGGGAGCAAACAGGCUUAGAUACCCUGGUAGUCCACGCCGUAAACGGUGGGCACUAGGUGUGGGGAACAUUCCACGUUCUCCGUGCCGAAGCUAACGCAUUAAAGUGCCCCGCCUGGGGAGUACGGCCGCAAGGCUA